rnacentral:tRNA from 1 species
UUGCUGAUGGUCCAGUGGUUAGGACUCUGCCCUUCCAUUGCAGGGGGCAUGGGUUCGAUUCCUGGUUGGGGAA